rnacentral:snRNA from 1 species
GUGCUCACUUCGGCAGCACAUAUACUAAAAUUGAAGCGAUACAGAGAUUAGCAUGGCCCCUGAGCAAGGACGAUCCGCAAAUUUGUGACACAUUCCAUGUUAAA